GUGCAUUGGCGGCAGCUACACAUGCAAGUCGAGCGGAUGAGAGGAGCUUGCUCCUUGAUUUAGCGGCGGACGGGUGAGUAAUGCCUAGGAAUCUGCCUGGUAGUGGGGGAUAACGUUCCGAAAGGAACGCUAAUACCGCAUACGUCCUACGGGAGAAAGCAGGGGACCUUCGGGCCUUGCGCUAUCAGAUGAGCCUAGGUCGGAUUAGCUAGUUGGUGAGGUAAUGGCUCACCAAGGCGACGAUCCGUAACUGGUCUGAGAGGAUGAUCAGUCACACUGGAACUGAGACACGGUCCAGACUCCUACGGGAGGCAGCAGUGGGGAAUAUUGGACAAUGGGCGAAAGCCUGAUCCAGCCAUGCCGCGUGUGUGAAGAAGGUCUUCGGAUUGUAAAGCACUUUAAGUUGGGAGGAAGGGCAUUAACCUAAUACCUUGCUGUUUUGACGUUACCGACAGAAUAAGCACCGGCUAACUUCGUGCCAGCAGCCGCGGUAAUACGAAGGGUGCAAGCGUUAAUCGGAAUUACUGGGCGUAAAGCGCGCGUAGGUGGUUCGUUAAGUUGGAUGUGAAAGCCCCGGGCUCAACCUGGGAACUGCAUCCAAAACUGGCGAGCUAGAGUACGGUAGAGGGUGGUGGAAUUUCCUGUGUAGCGGUGAAAUGCGUAGAUAUAGGAAGGAACACCAGUGGCGAAGGCGACCACCUGGACUGAUACUGACACUGAGGUGCGAAAGCGUGGGAGCAAACAGGAUUAGAUACCCUGGUAGUCCACGCCGUAAACGAUGUCAACUAGCCGUUGGGUUCCUUGAGAACUUAGUGGCGCAGCUAACGCAUUAAGUUGACCGCCUGGGGAGUACGGCCGCAAGGUUAAAACUCAAAUGAAUUGACGGGGGCCCGCACAAGCGGUGGAGCAUGUGGUUUAUUCGAAGCAACGCGAAGAACC
rnacentral:rRNA from 1 species